rnacentral:rRNA from 1 species
GACGUAGGGCGCGAGCGUUGUCCGGAUUUAUUGGGCGUAAAGAGCUCGUAGGCGGCUCGUUGCGUCGGCUGUGAAAACCCGCAGCUCAACUGUGGGCUUGCAGCUGAUACGGGCGGGCUGGGAUUCGGUAGGGGAGACUGGAGUUCCUGGUGUAGCGGUGAAAUGCGCAGAUAUCAGGAGGAACACCGGUGGCGAAGGCGGGUCUCUGGGCCGAUAUCGACGCUGAGGAGCGAAAGCGUGGGGAGCGAACAGG